rnacentral:rRNA from 1 species
UGGGGAAUAUUGGACAAUGCGGGAAACCGUGAUCCAGCAAUGCCGCGUGAGUGAAGAAGGCCUUAGGGUUGUAAAGCUCUUUUACCAGGGAUGAUAAUGACAGUACCUGGAGAAUAAGCCCCGGCUAACUCCGUGCCAGCAGCCGCGGUAAUACGGAGGGGGCUAGCGUUGUUCGGAAUUACUGGGCGUAAAGCGCGCGUAGGCGGCUUUCCAAGUCAGGGGUGAAAUCCCGGGGCUCAACCCCGGAACUGCCCUUGAAACUGGAUCGCUAGAAUCUUGGAGAGGUGAGUGGAAUUCCGAGUGUAGAGGUGAAAUUCGUAGAUAUUCGGAAGAACACCAGUGGCGAAGGCGACUCACUGGACAAGUAUUGACGCUGAGGUGCGAAAGCGUGGGGAGCAAACAGGAUUAGAUACCCCCGUAGUCC